AUUGUGCAUUCUUCAAUAUGGGUGUAAUUUGAGAUAAAAAAGAAAGAUUUUGACAGAGGAAAUACAGGGCCUAAUGAGAAACACAUGCAUCAACAUUUGUGUCAGCAAUGACGUAUACCCAACCAACACACCCAAACAAUCUUAACUUCUCCGACGGAUACAUUUUGCACUUCAUGGUACAGUAAGCAAUACCUAAAUGCACUUAUAAUGCCCCAUUUGUUUUUUUAAAUCACAGUGAAAAUGUUGUCAAUAUUAACACAGAAAGAACAUAAGAAAAACAUACCUAAAUUAUUCCAACGGCACAGUGCUACAUAAAGCCUUUGAAAGGAACACAUCUCCAGGGAAGACAUCUCCACACGGACUGAAUCUUGAGAAAGAGUACACAAGAUGCUGACAAACCCGCAGUUUGAAAAAAAAAAAAACGACUAAACACAUUAUGUUAAUAUUUAAUGUUGCUGUUCCUCAGGAGGCCACUCUGAGUUGCAUUAGGGCUGUGUGAGAGGGUCUGAGGGGAGGUUUUAUUAGGGCUGUGUGAGAGUGUCUGAGGGGAGGUUUUAUUAGGGCUGUGUGAGAGUGUCUGAGGGGAGGUUGUAUUAGGGCUGUGUGAGAGGGUCUGAGGGGAGGUUGUAUUACGGCUGUGUGAGAGGGUCUGAGGGGAGGUUGUAUUAGGGCUGUGUGAGAGGGUCUGAGGGGGGGUUGUAUUAGGGCUGUGUGAGAGUGUCUGAGGGGAGGUUGUAUUAGGGCUGUGUGAGAGGGUCUGAGGGGAGGUUGUAUUAGGGCUGUGUGAGAGUGUCUGAGGGGAGGUUGUAUUAGGGCUGUGUGAGAGGGUCUGAGGGGAG
ensembl:lncRNA